GCUUCAGAAAUGAAACUACUGUGAAAUAUGAGUCUCCUCCUACUGACUGCAGAGCUGCUUCAUGGCAGAGAACUCUUUGAUUCCAGCUGUGAACAUCAGACCAAACACAACUGACAGAACGUAUUCAUACUGAACAUUCAGUUCCAGCAUUUCUCCUCUGUCAACAUGGAGAAACUCGCUGCACUUUUGUUCUUUUCAGCUCUCGUAGGUAACACCUUGGAAGAUGAUAUUACUGCCAGCAGAGCUGAAGUGUUCUCAUCAGAGGGCCGUAGUGUUACUCUGUCCUGUAGCUAUUCAGUUAAAGCCGAGAAUCUCCAGUGGUAUCGACAGGAUCCUGGAUCAGCUCCUCAGUUCCUUCUCCUGAUCACUGAUGCAAAAGAGCCUUCAGUGGUGGAAGCAAAACCUCCACACCCUCAACUGACCGCUAACCUAAAUGAGGAGAGGAAUCGAGUCGAUCUGCAGAUCUCCUCUGCUGCAGUGACAGACUCUGCUGUGUACUACUGU